rnacentral:lncRNA from 1 species
CAGGAGUAAACCAUGAUCAUCUAGGUGGUUCUCCCAAAGUGAGGCCCUUCCAUUGCACUCCGGUUGGGUUGACCUUUGCGAUCGCCCCAAAUGUGGGCGACUCGGAAGAUCGGAAGGGCCUCGUGAAAGGAAGGAGUGUAGAU